rnacentral:rRNA from 1 species
AGGAAGGUGGGGAUGACGUCAAAUCAUCAUGCCCCUUAUGUCUAGGGCUACACACGUGCUACAAUGGUCGGUACAGAGAGACGCAAGACCGCGAGGUGGAGCAAAUCUCAAAAACCGAUCCCAGUUCGGAUUGCAGGCUGAAACUCGCCUGCAUGAAGCCGGAGUUGCUAGUAAUCGCAAAUCAGAAUGUUGCGGUGAAUACGUUCCCGGGCCUUGUACACACCGCCCGUCACACCAUGAGAGUUGGCAACACCCGAAGUCCGUGAGGUAACCGUAAGGAGCCAGCGGCCGAAGGUGGGGUUAAUGAUUGGGGUGAAGUCGUAACAAGGUAGCCGUAGGAGAACCUGCGGCUGGAUCACCUCCUUUCUAAGG